rnacentral:rRNA from 1 species
CCUACGGGGGGCAGCAGUGAGGAAUAUUGGUCAAUGGACGAGAGUCUGAACCAGCCAAGUAGCAUGAAGGAUGACUGCCCUAUGGGUUGUAAACUUCUUUUAUAUGGGAAUAAAAUGUUCCACGUGUGGGAUUUUGUAUGUACCAUAUGAAUAAGGAUCGGCUAACUCCGUGCCAGCAGCCGCGGUAAUACGGAGGAUCCGAGCGUUAUCCGGAUUUAUUGGGUUUAAAGGGAGCGUAGGUGGAUUGUUAAGUCAGUUGUGAAAGUUUGCGGCUCAACCGUAAAAUUGCAGUUGAAACUGGCAGUCUUGAGUACAGUAGAGGUGGGCGGAAUUCGUGGUGUAGCGGUGAAAUGCUUAGAUAUCACGAAGAACUCCGAUUGCGAAGGCAGUUCACUGGACUGCAACUGACACUGAGGCUCGAAAGUGUGGGUAUCAAACAGGAUUAGAUACCCUUGUAGUC